rnacentral:lncRNA from 1 species
UUUUUUCUACCCCUUUUGUUUUUUUUUCUUUUGGGCUUUGUUGUUUUUUUUUGGGCCUGGGGGCUGCUGGUGGUAUGGCCUGCUGGGUCGGGUCGUCAGUUGAUUCGGGUCGGGUCAGUUUGACCCGACUGAAUUAAAAUUUUUUUCUUUCCCUUUCUUCUUUCUUUCUUUCUUUCUUCUCUUUUUCUUAAUUUCUUUCUUUCUUUCACGAUCAGCGCCCCCUUUUGUGUUGUCGGUGACGCCUCCUGGUGCGACGGCCGGCGGUGGUGCGCACGGUGGUCUCCUUUUCCCCUCCCUUUCCUUCUUUUCUUUUUUUCUUUUUCGAAGCUUUUUUUUCUCUCUUUUUUCUUUGCCUUUUUCUUUUUUGUUUUGGCUCUUGUUUGCUUUGCUAGGUGUCGGCGAUGGGUACGACGGUGCUGGUGCGACGGCCGGCGGUGGGCUGCUUUUUUUUCUUUUUUCGCUCAAAAAUUUGUUUUGUUUUGUUUUUUUUUCUUUUUGCCUCCUCCUCUUAAUUUUGGGGUUGAAAACCCCUUAUAUAUUGUUGAAUUUUCUUCCUUUUUUGCAGGUUACAGGUGGCUAGGGAGGGCCUAGGUCGGCCGCCGCCGUUGCAGGUGCACAACUUGCGCUGGCGACUGCCAGAAGGACCAGAUUGCAAAUGCAGUAAAAAUUCUAGGGCCAAAGUGUAAUUUUGGGAAAAUUUAGGGUCAAAAUGUAAUUCUAGGAAUGUUCAAGGGUUAAAAUGCAAUUUCAAGAAAGUUUAAGGGUUGAAAUGUAAUUUCAAAAAAGUUAGGGGUCAAAAUGCAAUUUUUUUAAAAAAACACGAAAAUUGUCCGGGACAAAAUUCAGUGAUUACACCCACAAAACCAAGUUCUUUGCCUUAUAUAUCUUGGGG